GGGCCUGUAGCUUAGCUUGGAUGAAGCACUGGCCUUCUAAGCCAGCAAACUCGGGUUCAAAUCCCGACAGGCCCG
rnacentral:tRNA from 1 species